rnacentral:misc_RNA from 1 species
AGAGAGAGAGAGAGAAAGGGAGGGAGUUGUAUCAAUCUGGGCAUUUAGUUCUCACCAGCUAGAACUAAGACUAGCUACCAUUUGAAUAAAAAAUAAUACCGAACUCCUCCAAUGAGUGAAUGCUUGCUCCUUGCAUUUGCUCUAGAUUCUCCUCUGCUGAUGGCAUUAAGGGGAAAGAAUAGUUCCUUUAGUUCACCUUUCCAACAUCAUUUCAAGUUACUACCCGUCUUGAUUUCUUCAUAUCAAAGGAUAAACAAUUGUCCCUCAUUGCAUUUUCAUGCGCCUUCAGAGUUCCUUCAGAGUUCAGAUUCCAUCCCUUAUCUCCGGCAGUCUUCUCGUUUAUGAUCAAAUGAAUAUAAAGGAAAAAGAAACAUAAAAUUUAGAAGCAUACCAAUACAACAAGAUCCAGAGGUCUAAUUCUUACAGAGAGAUCUAUCUUCUACAUUAGCCCCUUCUUUGAUUAAAUCCUCUUAAAGAACCAAAGCAAAGAAAAAUUGUGGUCCUUCAUAGAGCAGCUGCUUUGAAUGCCAUUUCCAACAUCACAAGACAAGGACAGAGAAGUUGUUUACACUAUCUAAGACAAAAAUUAUUAACACCUUGCGGGCUUAUAUAACCAGUUCUUCCUGAAUUCAACAUUCCCGCAAAAAAUGAUUCUUGCCGCUUGUCCAACAGCCAGCAUAACAUACAAUACAUCUUCCUGCAGUGCAAAUGCCUAC